rnacentral:rRNA from 1 species
UGGCGAACGGGUGAGUAACACGUGGGUGAUCUGCCCUGCACUUCGGGAUAAGCCUGGGAAACUGGGUCUAAUACCGGAUAGGACCACAUUUUGGAUGGUGUGGUGGAAAGUUUUUCGGUGUGGGAUGAGCUCGCGGCCUAUCAGCUUGUUGGUGGGGUAAUGGCCUACCAAGGCGGCGACGGGUAGCCGGCCUGAGAGGGUGGACGGCCACAUUGGACUGAGAUACGGCCCAG